rnacentral:rRNA from 1 species
AACGCGAAGAACCUUACCUGGGCUCGAAAUGUAGUGGACUGGGGUAGAAAUAUCGUCUUCCCGCAAGGGACAGUAGUAGAGGUGCUGCAUGGCUGUCGUCAGCUCGUGCCGUGAGGUGUUGGGUUAAGUCCCGCAACGAGCGCAACCCUUAUUCGUAGUUGCCACCCGCAAGGGGGAACUCUACGAGGACUGCUCCGGAUAACGGAGAGGAAGGUGGGGAUGACGUCAAGUCAGCAUGGCCCUUUAUGUCCAGGGCUACACACGUGUUACAAUGCACGGUACAGACUGUUGCGAACCCGCGAGGGGGAGCUAAUCGGAGAAAACCGUGCUCAGUUCGGAUUGCAGUCUGCAACUCGACUGCAUGAAGCUGGAAUCGCUAGUAAUGGCGUAUCAGAUCGACGCCGUGAAUACGUUCCCGGGCUUGUACACACCGACAUA